rnacentral:rRNA from 1 species
CCUACGGGUGGCAGCAGUGAGGAAUAUUGGUCAAUGGGCGCGAGCCUGAACCAGCCAAGUAGCGUGAAGGAUGACUGCCCUACGGGUUGUAAACUUCUUUUAUAAAGGAAUAAAGUGAGGCACGUGUGCCGUUUUGUAUGUACGUUAUGAAUAAGGAUCGGCUAACUCCGUGCCAGCAGCCGCGGUAAGACGGAGGAUCCGAGCGUUAUCCGGAUUUAUUGGGUUUAACGGGAGCGUAGAGGGGUUGUUAAGUCAGUUGUGAAAGUUUGCGGCUCCACCGUAAAAUGGCAAUUGAUACUGGCAGUCUUGCUUACAGUUGAGGUAGGCGUACUUCGUGGUGUAGCUG